rnacentral:tRNA from 1 species
UAUAGCUCAGUUGGGAGAGCGCUUGAAUGGCAUUCAAGAGGUCGUCGGUUCGAUCCCGAUUAUCUCCACCA